AGUAGUUUCGUAUCCUGGACUCAGGACGAACGCUGGCGGCGUGCUUAACACAUGCAAGUCGAACGGAAAGGCCUGCUUUUGUGGGGUGCUCGAGUGGCGAACGGGUGAGUAACACGUGAGUAACCUGCCCUUGACUUUGGGAUAACUUCAGGAAACUGGGGCUAAUACCGGAUAGGAGCUCCUGCUGCAUGGUGGGGGUUGGAAAGUUUCGGCGGUUGGGGAUGGACUCGCGGCUUAUCAGCUUGUUGGUGGGGUAGUGGCUUACCAAGGCUUUGACGGGUAGCCGGCCUGAGAGGGUGACCGGCCACAUUGGGACUGAGAUACGGCCCAGACUCCUACGGGAGGCAGCAGUGGGGAAUAUUGCACGAUGGGCGGAAGCCUGAUGCAGCAACGCCGCGUGCGGGAUGACGGCCUUCGGGUUGUAAACCGCUUUCGCCUGUGACGAAGCGUGAGUGACGGUAAUGGGUAAAGAAGCACCGGCUAACUACGUG
rnacentral:rRNA from 1 species